ensembl:snoRNA
AUCCUUUUGUAGUUCAUAAGCAUGAUGAUCGGGUGUUCAUGUCUGAGCAUGAGAUGUGCCUCCCUCAAACCUUGUUGUGACGUUGGCACAUUUCCCAUCUGAUG